CCAGUAUGCACAUUAUACAGCUGGAGUAAAAAGUGUAAAUCCUGUCGAAAUUAGUGUUUUCCAAGUGAAGUGAAGCACAUCUUGACUGAGAAAGUGAGACAGCGCGAGGUUUCCAGGGAAGCGGCGCACUUCGGGGAAAUGACGUGCGUCUCGCGCACUCCCUCAGGCACGACACAAAAAGACAAAGGUGUUUACAGCCGACGCUCUUCUGUCAGCAGAAGCAUGCAACGAUUGCUGGACAGCAGCUGGAUAAAGUUUGGACCUGCUGGAAGAGAUGACUGGGUGUCUGGGUCCCCAUCGCCGCCUACCGCAGAACAACGACCACAGGGUUACCACUGGAAUGAGCUGUCGAGCCAAAACGACGGGAAAUCGGAGCUUCUCCUGUACAUCAUCCUCCCGCUCGUCACGCUCCUCGUGUUCGGUGCCGUGUUCGUCCUCGUUUACCGGAGGUUCAGGCAGAACAAGCUCGGACUGGCCAACAUCAUCGCGCUGGACCUGCAGGACCCGGAGCGCAACGCCGAGAUCCUGUCGUCACUCACCGGGAACGCGGAGCGGCUGAACAGCACGAGCUCGGACAUGUCUGACGGGGUGUUCCUCAUGGUUUACCUCCCGCCGCCCUACGAGGACACGCUGACCAAGAUCACGCGAGCCGCGAGCCUCAGCAGCGGGAAAGACGUCGAGUCCAUCACGAUCGAAGACCUCGAGGCCAAACUGUGUCCAGAGCUCGUGUCCAGCGGGGAGUUCGUCUGAGAAGCAAAGAAGACGCUUACUAAAGAGACUCCGGGGCUAUGUCACAGAGCCCUGCUGCUGGGGAACAAUUUAAUAAUAAUACCAUCCCAAAAAAUUACAAUGGUUUCCACUACAAACAUUAUAAACCAUCAACUUUUAACCAUUUAAACCAUAAAAAAUGGUGUAGUGUGUGUUUUGGGAAUUGUUCCGUAAAGAUUUAUUGGUUUUAACAAGCCACCAAUAGAAGGUUUCCAUUAUAACCAGUAAAACCAUUAGAAAUAGUGUGAUGGUGUCCACUGUUUUUUUUUUUUGUUUGUUUGUUUUUCAGCAGGGAGUGAAGAUUACACAAGGGCUAUCUCAGUUUUUUGUUGUCCUCUUGUCUGUCGGUUGAUUUCUAAUCUAUGAAACUAAAAUAACAGAGAAAAACUAUAAAAGUAUGUGCCUGACUUUCUAUACUUUUUAUAUACUUUACCAUAAUAGAGAUCUUGAUAUUCAUAUUAGUUUCACAUUACAACAAUGUAUUGUAUACCACAUCAACAUGAGAGUACUAUUGUGCUUGUAUUUACAGUAGGCCGAGUAAUCACCGUGUGUUUUACUUUGAAAUAUUGCUAGACGCACUUUGUGUUGUACAAAUUUUUAGUAGAGACAAUCACAGUAUUAUGUCAUGUUUUUAUAUCUGCAAGACUGCAUCAGUCAUUGUUUGCAUAAAUAAUUAGCACGAUGCUGGCAGGUUUUGCAUUAUCAUCUAGUCAUCUAAACCAUUUCUAAUAAAGACCAUAUUAAAGGCUG
rnacentral:lncRNA from 1 species